rnacentral:rRNA from 1 species
GACGAACGCUGGCGGCGUGCCUAAUACAUGCAAGUAGAACGCUGAAGGAGGAGCUUGCUCUUCUGGAUGAGUUGCGAACGGGUGAGUAACGCGUAGGUAACCUGCCUGGUAGCGGGGGAUAACUAUUGGAAACGAUAGCUAAUACCGCAUAAUAUUGACUAUUGCAUGAUAGUCAAUUGAAAGGUGCAAAUGCACCACUACCAGAUGGACCUGCGUUGUAUUAGCUAGUUGGUGGGGUAACGGCUCACCAAGGCGACGAUACAUAGCCGACCUGAGAGGGUGAUCGGCCACACUGGGACUGAGACACGGCCCAGACUCCUACGGGAGGCAGCAGUAGGGAAUCUUCGGCAAUGGACGGAAGUCUGACCGAGCAACGCCGCGUGAGUGAAGAAGGUUUUCGGAUCGUAAAGCUCUGUUGUAAGAGAAGAACGAG